rnacentral:lncRNA from 1 species
CGGCUCACUGCAAGCUCCGCCUCCCGGGUUCCCGCCAUUCUCCUGCCUCAGCCUCCUGAGUAGCCGGGACUACACGCGCCCGCCACCACGCCCGGCUAAUUUUUUGUAUUUUUAGUAGAGACGCGGUUUCACCGUGUUAGCCACUAAGGUCUUGAUCUCCUGACCUUGUGAUCCGCCCACCUCAGCCUCCCAAAGUGCUGGGAUUACAGGCGUGAGCCACCGCGCCUGGCCAGAAGCAGGAAUUAUUGAUACGGAGUGCAGGGGAGUGAAGAGCGUGGUCCCCUCAAAUGAUACCGAAGUGUGGAAGGGAAGUGCUGGGUAGAAGAGGGCGUGGUCCCUGGCUAGGGCUCCACCCCCACGGACCUGGGUGAGGAUAGGCAUUUCCUGUCCAAAUAUUGCAUUGCCCAAUAUCACCCCGGCCUGCCACACCCCCAUCCUGUGCCUAUAAACUGCCCUCAGACCUUAGCAGGCAGGCACACAAGCUGCUGGACCUGCAGAGGAGCCUAUCUGCAAACCCAGACAUCUGGACGUGGAGAGGAGCGAAUUGGUGGAGGAACACACAGGUGGCUGGAUGUUAAGAGAAGCACAUCAGCAGGCCCUGGGAUGCGGGCAGGCCACGGACCAGCAGAAGGAGAGGCUGAGUUUGGCUGGGACAGUCAGAGGAGAGCCCGGGCCAGGGAGCAGCCUGACUCCAAGGAAAAAACCAUCUCCCUUCUGGCUCCCCCGUAUGCUGAGAGCUACUUCCAGUCAAUAAAACUUUGAACUCAUUCUCCAAGACCACGUGUGAUCCGAUUCUUCCAGUACACCAAGGAAUGCAAGAGGAAAGCAUCCUAAGGAGGAGGAUUUGGCGGGACCUAACAAGACCACAGUGCAUUGACCCUUUGGCCCAGCAAUGUCACUUCUAGGACUUCAUCUUGAAAAUCCACCUCCAGAAAUGCAAAGCAUCAUAGGCAGAAGAUCAUUCACUGUGGCUUCAUACGUAAUAGCACAAUAUUACAAAAAAUAAAAAUGCUGAUUUGUAGAAGAUUGGUUAAAUAAAUUAUGAUAUAUCAGCGCUGUUUUUUUACAAAAGGAAUGAGGAAUAUCUGUAUUCAUUGAUAUGUAGUGACUUUGAGGAUAUACUAUUUAAAUUAAAAAC